rnacentral:rRNA from 1 species
UACGGGGGGGGCAAGCGUUGUUCGGAAUUACUGGGCGUAAAGGGCGCGUAGGCGGCUUUGCAAGUCGGGUGUGAAAUCCCCAGGCUUAACCUGGGAACUGCAUUCGAGACUGCAUUGCUAGAGUAUGGGAGAGGGAAGUGGAAUUUCCGGUGUAGCGGUGAAUGCGUAGAUAUCGGAAGGAACAUCAGUGGCGAAAGCGACUCCUGGACCAAUACUGACGCUCAUGUGCGGAAAGCGUGGGGAGCAAACAGGG